rnacentral:rRNA from 1 species
ACGGCUCAGUAACACGUGGAUAACCUGCCCUUGGGUCCGGCAUAACCCCGGGAAACUGGGGAUAAUUCCGGAUAACGCACAUAUGCUGGAAUGCUUUAUGCGUAAAAUGGAUUCGUCUGCCCAAGGAUGGGUCUGCGGCCUAUCAGGUAGUAGUGGGUGUAAUGUACCUACUAGCCAACAACGGGUACGGGUUGUGAGAGCAAGAGCCCGGAGAUGGAUUCUGAGACAUGAAUCCAGGCCCUACGGGGCGCAGCAGGCGCGAAAACUUUACAAUGCGGGAAACCGUGAUAAGGGGACACCGAGUGCCAGCAUCAUAUGCUGGCUGUCCGGGUGUGUAAAAUACACAUGUCAGCAAGGGCCGGGCAAGACCGGUGCCAGCCGCCGCGGUAACACCGGCGGCCCGAGUGGUGAUCGUGAUUAUUGGGUCUAAAGGGUCCGUAGCCGGUUUGGUCAGUCCUCCGGGAAAUCUGACGGCUUAACCGUUAGGCUUUCGGGGGAUACUGCCAGGCUUGGAACCGGGAGAGGUAAGAGGUACUACAGGGGUAGGAGUGAAAUCUUGUAAUCCCUGUGGGACCACCUGUGGCGAAGGCGUCUUACCAGAACGGGUUCGACGGUGAGGGACGAAAGCUGGGGGCACGAACCGGAUUAGAUACCCGGGUAGUCCCAGCCGUAAACGAUGCUCGCUAGGUGUCAGGCAUGGCGCGACCGUGUCUGGUGCCGCAGGGAAGCCGUGAAGCGAGCCACCUGGGAAGUACGGCCGCAAGGCUGAAACUUAAAGGAAUUGGCGGGGGAGCAC